rnacentral:rRNA from 1 species
CAUGUAAUUCCUACAACGUUAAUGCAUCGGAUCCCAUUAGAACUCUGCAGUUAAGCACACUUUGGCUAGAGUAGUACUGGGGUGGGUGACCUCUUGGGAAGUCCUAUUGUUUUACAUGC